rnacentral:rRNA from 1 species
AGUGAACGCUGGCGGUAGGCCUAACACAUGCAGGUUGAACGGCAGCACAGUAAGAGCUUGCUCUUACGGGUGGCGAGUGGCGGACGGGUGAGGAAUACAUCGGAAUCUACUUUUUCGUGGGGGAUAACGUAGGGAAACUUACGCUAAUACCGCAUACGACCUACGGGUGAAAGCGGGGGAUCUUCGGACCUUGCGCGAUUGAAUGAGCCGAUGUCGGAUUAGCUAGUUGGCGGGGUAAAGGCCCACCAAGGCGACGAUCCGUAGCUGGUCUGAGAGGAUGAUCAGCCACAUUGGAGCUGAGACACGGUCCAGACUCCUACGGGAGGCAGCAGUCGGGAAUAUUGGACAAUGGGCGCAAGCCUGAUCCAGCCAUACCGCGUGGGUGAAGAAGGCCUUCGGGUUGUAAAGCCCUUUUGUUGGGAAAGAAAAGCAGCAGGUUAAUACCCCGCUGUUCUGACGGUACCCAAAGAAUAAGCACCGGCUAACUUCGUG